rnacentral:rRNA from 1 species
GACAGAGGAGCCAAGCGUUGUCCGGAGUGACUGGGCGUAAAGCGCACGCAGGUGGUUCUGUGCGUGGGGUGUGAAAGCUCUCGGCUCAACUGAGAGAGGCCACCUCAUACGGCAGAGCUCGAGCCCUGCAGAGGUCCACGGAAUUGCCGGUGUAGUGGUGAAAUGCGUAGAUAUCAGGAGGAACACCGGUGGUGCAAACGGCUUUCUGGACCGUAACUGACGCUGAGACACGAAAGCGUGGGGAGCAAACAGG